CAAUAGCGUAUAUUAAAGUUGUUGCAGUUAGAACGCUCGUAGUCGGAUUUCGGGGCGGGCCGACCGGUCUGCCGAUGGGUACGCACUGGUCGGCGCGUCCUUCCUUCCGGAGACCGUUCCUACUCUUAACUGAGCGGGGGCGGGAGACGGAUCGUUUACCUUGAAAAAAUCAGAGUGUUUCAAGCAGGCAGCUCGCUCUUGCAUGGAUUAGCAUGGGAUAAUGAAAUAGGACUUUGGUGCUAUUUUGUUGGUUUCGAACACCGAAGUAAUGAUUAAAAGGGACAGUCAGGGGCACUCGUAUUCCGCCGAGAGAGGUGAAAUUCUCAGACCAGCGGAAGACGAACUACUGCGAAAGCAUUUGCCAGGGAUGUUUUCACUGA
rnacentral:rRNA from 1 species